rnacentral:misc_RNA from 1 species
CCUAGAGUUGUAGGCUUUGCCUGCUAUCUCUUACCCAUGUCUUUUGAGUGCCUUCGUUUCCUCGGCGGGUCCGCCCGCCGAUUGGACGAUUUAAACCAUUUGCAGUUGCAAUCAGCGUCUGAAAAAACUUAAUAGUUA